CUAGCCCAGCACUCCGCACACAAGCUGGCAGGCCAGCUGCCCACAGGGUCCCUCAAGCAGGAUGGGUGCAAGGCCUCCUCCUGCCCGAGCUCCUCAGCAACUGGCGUGUGCAGGCAGGCCCUUCUGCUGA